CACAGAGUUAGCCGUCUCUUCCUCUUGUGGUACUAUCUUUUUAAUUUGCUCCCACAUGACAGGGGUUUACAAUCCGAAGACCUUCAUUCCCCCACGCGGCGUCGCACCAUCAGGGUUUCCCCCAUUGUGAAUGAUUCUCGACUGCUGCCACCCGUAGGUGUCUGGACCGUGUCUCAGUUCCAGUGUGGCCGGACAUCCUCUCAGACCGGCUACCCGUCAUCGCCUUGGUGAGCCGUUACCUCACCAACUAACUAAUAGGCCGCGAGCCCAUCCCCAAGCGCAUUGCUGCUUUAAUCUUUCGAUACUAUGCGGUAUUAAUCCCAGUUUCCCAGGGCUAUCCCGCUCUCGGGGGCAGGUUACUCACGUGUUACUCACCCGUGCGCCACUAGAGAAUUAUUAGCAAGCUAGCAAUUCUCCCGUUCGACUUGCAUGUCUUAUCCACGCCGCCAGCGUCGUUCUGUAGCCACGGAGUCAAACUAC
rnacentral:rRNA from 1 species